rnacentral:snoRNA from 1 species
GCUUGAUGAUACACACAGCUGGCACCAGUCCUAGGACUUGUACUCUCUACCAUGCGGAAUAGCUUGAGAUAUUCUACCUCUCCGUACUGAU